ACCCUACUAUCCCUAUUCCUUCUCCCUCUCCGCUUCCUUUCCUGUCUCCCGCCCUCCAUCCUUCACUCACAACCGGUGUCCGAAUUGGCGUACCUCGUAUACGUAAUUUUGCCUCCACUAUUUGUGUUUAUUUUUGGGCUGUAUACGGCAAUUUCUAAUUUAGGGCCUCUAGGGUCAAAUUACGGGUUGGGGUUAGGGUUUGGGGCCGGGUAUAGGGUCGGGAAUUAAAUUAGGAAAAUUCCUGGGGGUUGGGGUAUG